rnacentral:tRNA from 1 species
GGCCCGGGCAGCGGCGCGGCGGCAGCCGCCUUCGGCGGCCCGCCGGGAGCGGCGGGCGCGGGCCCGUCGGGGCCGGCGUUCGGCGCGCAGGCCGGGCCG